rnacentral:rRNA from 1 species
GACGAACGCUGGCGGCGUGCUUAACACAUGCAAGUCGAACGGAAAGGCCCUGCUUUUGUGGGGUGCUCGAGUGGCGAACGGGUGAGUAACACGUGAGUAACAUGCCCUUGACUUUGGGAUAACUUCAGGAAACUGGGGCUAAUACCGGAUAGGAGCUCCUGCAGCAUGGUGGGGGUUGGAAAGUUUCGGCGGUUGGGGAUGGACUCGCGGCUUAUCAGCUUGUUGGUGGGGUAGUGGCUUACCAAGGCUUUGACGGGUAGCCGGCCUGAGAGGGUGACCGGCCACAUUGGGACUGAGAUACGGCCCAGACUCCUACGGGAGGCAGCAGUGGGGAGUACUGCACAAUGGGCGGAAGCCUGAUGCAGCAACGCCGCGUGCGGGAUGACGGCCUUCGGGUUGUAAACCGCUUUCGCCUGUGACGAAGCGUGAGUGACGGUAAUGGGUAAAGAAGCACCGGCUAACUACGUG